GACGAACGCUGGCGGCGUGCUUAACACAUGCAAGUCGAACGGAAAGGCCCUGCUUGUGUGGGGUGCUCGAGUGGCGAACGGGUGAGUAACACGUGAGUAACCUGCCCUAGACUUUGGGAUAACUUCAGGAAACUGGGGCUAAUACCGGAUAGGAGCUCCUGCUGGAUGGUGGGGGUGGGAAAGUUUCGGCGGGUGGGGUUGGACUCGCGGCUUAUGAGCUAGCUGGUGGGGUAGUGGCUUACCAAGUCUUUGGCGGGUAGCCGGCCUGAGAGGGUGGCCGGGCACCUUGGUCCUGAGAUACGGCGCAGUCUCCUACGGGAGGCAGCGGUGGGGAAUCUUGCCCAACGGGCGCGCGCCUGUUGCAGCAACGCCGCGUUCGGGAUGCCGGCCUGCGGGUUGUAAACCGCUUUCGCCUAUGACGCAGCGUGUGUGACGGUACUGAGUAAAGAAGCACCGGCUAACUACGUG
rnacentral:rRNA from 1 species